GGGUGACUGCGUACCUUUUGUAUAAUGGGUCAGCGACUUAUAUUCUGUAGCAAGGUUAACCGUAUAGGGGAGCCGCAGGGAAACCGAGUCUUAACUGGGCGUUAAGUUGCAGGGUAUAGACCCGAAACCCGGUGAUCUAGCCAUGGGCAGGUUGAAGGUUGGGUAACACUAACUGGAGGACCGAACCGACUAAUGUUGAAAAAUUAGCGGAUGACUUGUGGCUGGGGGUGAAAGGCCAAUCAAACCGGGAGAUAGCUGGUUCUCCCCGAAAGCUAUUUAGGUAGCGCCUCGUGAAUUCAUCUUCGGGGGUAGAGCACUGUUUCGGCUAGGGGGUCAUCCCGACUUACCAACCCGAUGCAAACUACGAAUACCGAAGAAUGUUAUCACGGGAGACACACGGCGGGUGCUAACGUCCGUCGUGAAGAGGGAAACAACCCAGACCGCCAGCUAAGGUCCCAAAGUCAUGGUUAAGUGGGAAACGAUGUGGGAAGGCCCAGACAGCCAGGAUGUUGGCUUAGAAGCAGCCAUCAUUUAAAGAAAGCGUAAUAGCUCACUGGUCGAGUCGGCCUGCGCGGAAGAUGUAACGGGGCUAAACCAUGCACCGAAGCUGCGGCAGCGACACUAUGUGUUGUUGGGUAGGGGAGCGUUCUGUAAGCCGUUGAAGGUGGCCUGUGAGGGUUGCUGGAGGUAUCAGAAGUGCGAAUGCUGACAUAAGUAACGAUAAUGCGGGUGAAAAACCCGCACGCCGGAAGACCAAGGGUUCCUGUCCAACGUUAAUCGGGGCAGGGUGAGUCGACCCCUAAGGCGAGGCCGAAAGGCGUAGUCGAUGGGAAACAGGUUAAUAUUCCUGUACUCGGUGUUACUGCGAAGGGGGGACGGAGAAGGCUAUGUUGGCCGGGCGACGGUUGUCCCGGUUUAAGCAUGUAGGCGGAUGUUCCAGGUAAAUCCGGAACGUCACUAACGCUGAGGUGUGAUGACGAGGCACUACGGUGCUGAAGUGACAAAUGCCCUGCUUCCAGGAAAAGCCUCUAAGCAUCAGGUAACAUCAAAUCGUACCCCAAACCGACACAGGUGGUCAGGUAGAGAAUACCAAGGCGCUUGAGAGAACUCGGGUGAAGGAACUAGGCAAAAUGGUGCCGUAACUUCGGGAGAAGGCACGCUGAUGGUAGGUGAAGUGACUUGCUCAUGGAGCUGAAAUCAGUCGAAGAUACCAGCUGGCUGCAACUGUUUAUUAAAAACACAGCACUGUGCAAACACGAAAGUGGACGUAUACGGUGUGACGCCUGCCCGGUGCCGGAAGGUUAAUUGAUGGGGUUAUCCUCGCGGAGAAGCUCUUGAUCGAAGCCCCGGUAAACGGCGGCCGUAACUAUAACGGUCCUAAGGUAGCGAAAUUCCUUGUCGGGUAAGUUCCGACCUGCACGAAUGGCGUAAUGAUGGCCAGGCUGUCUCCACCCGAGACUCAGUGAAAUUGAACUCGCUGUGAAGAUGCAGUGUACCCGCGGCAAGACGGAAAGACCCCGUGAACCUUUACUAUAGCUUGACACUGAACACUGGUCCUUGAUGUGUAGGAUAGGUGGGAGGCUUUGAAGUGUGGACGCCAGUCUGCAUGGAGCCAUCCUUGAAAUACCACCCUUUAAUGGCUGGUGUUCUAACGUGGGCCCCUAAUCGGGGUUGCGGACAGUGUCUGGUGGGUAGUUUGACUGGGGCGGUCUCCUCCUAAAGAGUAACGGAGGAGCACGAAGGUCAGCUAAUCCUGGUCGGACAUCAGGAGGUUAGUGCAAUGGCAUAAGCUGGCUUGACUGCGAGCGUGACGGCGCGAGCAGGUGCGAAAGCAGGUCAUAGUGAUCCGGUGGUUCUGAAUGGAAGGGCCAUCGCUCAACGGAUAAAAGGUACUCCGGGGAUAACAGGCUGAUACCGCCCAAGAGUUCAUAUCGACGGCGGUGUUUGGCACCUCGAUGUCGGCUCAUCACAUCCUGGGGCUGAAGUAGGUCCCAAGGGUAUGGCUGUUCGCCAUUUAAAGUGGUACGCGAGCUGGGUUUAGAACGUCGUGAGACAGUUCGGUCCCUAUCUGCCGUGGGCGCUGGAGAAUUGAGGGGGGCUGCUCCUAGUACGAGAGGACCGGAGUGGACGCAUCACUGGUGUUCGGGUUGUCAUGCCAAUGGCAUUGCCCGGUAGCUAAAUGCGGAAGAGAUAAGUGCUGAAAGCAUCUAAGCACGAAACUUGCCCCGAGAUGAGUUCUCCCUGACUCCUUGAGAGUCCUGAAGGAACGUUGAAGACGACGACGUUGAUAGGCCGGGUGUGUAAGCGCAGCGAUGCGUUGAGCUAACCGGUACUAAUGAACCGUGAGGCUUAACCUUACAACGCCGAAG
rnacentral:rRNA from 1 species